rnacentral:rRNA from 2 species
AGCCUGAUGGAGCAACACCGCGUGAGUGAAGAAGGGUUUCGGCUCGUAAAGCUCUGUUGUUAAAGAAGAACACGUAUGAGAGUAACUGUUCAUACGUUGACGGUAUUUAACCAGAAAGUCACGGCUAACUACGUGCCAGCAGCCGCGGUAAUACGUAGGUGGCAAGCGUUAUCCGGAUUUAUUGGGCGUAAAGAGAGUGCAGGCGGUUUUCUAAGUCUGAUGUGAAAGCCUUCGGCUUAACCGGAGAAGUGCAUCGGAAACUGGAUAACUUGAGUGCAGAAGAGGGUAGUGGAACUCCAUGUGUAGCGGUGGAAUGCGUAGAUAUAUGGAAGAACACCAGUGGCGAAGGCGGCUACCUGGUCUGCAACUGACGCUGAGACUCGAAAGCAUGGGUAGCGAACAGGAUUAGAUACCCUGGUAGUCCAUGCCGUAAACGAUGAGUGCUAGGUGUUGGAGGGUUUCCGCCCUUCAGUGCCGGAGCUAACGCAUUAAGCACUCCGCCUGGGGAGUACGACCGCAAGGUUGAAACUCAAAGGAAUUGACGGGGGCCCGCACAAGCGGUGGAGCAUGUGGUUUAAUUCGAAGCUACGCGAAGAACCUUACCAGGUCUUGACAUCUUGCGCCA